AACGAACGCUGGCGGCAGGCUUAACACAUGCAAGUCGAGCGCCCCGCAAGGGGAGCGGCAGACGGGUGAGUACCGCGUGGGAACGUACCUUUUGGUUCGGAACAACUCCGGGACACUGGAGCUAAUACCGGAUAAGCCCUAACGGGGAAAGAUUUAUCGCCGAAAGAUCGGCCCGCGUCUGAUUAGCUAGUUGGUGAGGUAACGGCUCACCAAGGCGACGAUCAGUAGCUGGUCUGAGAGGAUGAUCAGCCACACUGGGACUGAGACACGGCCCAGACUCCUACGGGAAGCAGCAGUGGGGAAUAUUGGACAAUGGGCGCAAGCCUGAUCCAGCCAUGCCGCGUGAGUGAUGAAGGCCUUAGGGUUGUAAAGCUCUUUUGUCCGGGAAGAUAAUGACUGUACCGGAAGAAUAAGCCCCGGCUAACUUCGUG
rnacentral:rRNA from 1 species